CUCCUCACCUCAAGUUCACAGAAUGUCAGAGCCACGAGGGAGUCUGUAGAUUACACAGUUCCCACUCCAGGACUAGGCCUGAUGCUGUACAGUCAGGAAAGUUUGAAUGGAAGCCAGGCAUGGUGGCGCACACCUUUAAUCGCAGCACUCUGGAGGCAGAGCCAGGUGGAUCUCUGUGAGUUCGAGGCCAGCCUGGUCUACAGAGCGGUUUACGACCUUGGACAUUAAACCUACAUUAAUCAGAGAGAAAUGACUUGCGUCGGCAGACCUAGUAAAACUGUUGGCCUUCAGAUGGGAAGGCACUGCGUGCCAGAAGCAAGGCAUCCAGAUGAAGAAGCAUGAAGCCCGGGUGCGGGGGCCAGCUCUGCCACUGACUAGCCACAAGACGAGCAGGGUCACUGUAUCCCAGCUGCCAUCUCCCCAGUGUGUGAAAUGGACCCGGAAAUCACACCCUAUCCACUUUACUGGGCUGAUGCCUUGCUCAAAUGAUGUUGUUUAAAUGUGAACUCCAAAAAUGAUCAAGUCCUUAAUCUCCUUCACCAGAGCAGGCAUUGUGGUGUCCACAGGCACUCAUGUGCGUGCAUACACACACACACACACACACACACACACACACAGGCUUAAGAAGCAGAAAACAUCCCUUCCUCCUUAACUCUGUUUCUGGUAGCUAGUUGACAUUAUUCACAGGAGAGUAUGGGCCCUUGUUGGGCACACACUCCUUACAAGAACUUCUCUCGACACAGCAGAAAGCAGCAUUCAGUUCCACCCAUCAGUACUGGGGUAGGAAUCUUAUCCAGUAGUAAGCAAAGCCUGAAAUGCAAGUUCAAGAUGCUGAAGCUCAUAUGUCCUUGAAGAAAGGGUUCCCUUGUUCUGUGGUAUUCGAUAGUAUGCUACUUACUCCAAAUUGCAUAUUUUUGAAAUACACAGUUGUCCUAGAACAUAAGAAAUGAUUUAGGACGAUAACACAAUGGUUCUCAACCUUCCUAAUGUUGUAACCCUUUAAUAUAAUUCCCCAUGUUGUUCUGACCUCCCUCCCAACUAUAAAAUUACUUUAGUUGCUAUUUCAUAGUGUAAUUUUCUACUGUUAUGAAUCAUAAUGUAAAUAUCUGACAUGCAGGAUAUUUGAUAUGUGACUCCCAAAGAGAUUGUGAGCCACAGGUUGAGAACCAUUGCAUUAAGCUGUCUUAGACUAGAAAAUACAGCUGACAUGGAUUCUGCAUUGACUCCUACUGGGAAUCUUCAAAGAGCUGGCAUGGGUAGGAGAAGCAGGGUGGUUCUACCUCUCUCUUUCUCCUCACCCCCUCUUGCUUCAUGAUUACCUCGCCCUGUCUCAGUGCUCUUAGGAAUAAUGAAUGUUACUCUGACCUGACCCAGGAUACACUUCCCCGAAGGCCAAAGUCUCAGACUGUUCAGGGGCAGGUUGCCCACAGUCACUCACUCACCACAAGGCCACCUUCAUACCUACAGAGUGAAGAACAUGGCCACUCAUCUCUGAUAACUUUUUCAGUUAUCUACCAAUCCAUUUCUCUGUCGUAUUAAGAAUCAGCCACAAAUUCUCUUGCCAAGACAAUGUAAAAAAAACCAUAUAUAUAUAUAUGCAAUACUAAAUGGACUGGCAGGUGGCAUUGAUAUAUUCAUUCAUAUCUGUAAAACAAUAAAAAAGAGAGGGGCAGAGGGACAUAGGAGUGGUUGGAGGGAGGAGAAGGAAGGAGAAAAUCAUUAAAAAGAAUUAAAACCACAAAUUUCUCUGUUUUAAGAAGAAUUUGAAUAGUAACAUCAGGUAGAGCUUUUUUUGAAUUCCAGGUCACAGCUUUCAGGCUGUGUAACUUUAGGAGAACAUCAUUAUUUUUUUCUGAGCUGUAUUAAUAAAAGGAUAAUAAAAAAGUUAAUCUAAAUUUCUGA